AGUCGAGCGGUAGCACAGGGAGCUUGCUCUUGGGUGACGAGCGGCGGACGGGUGAGUAAUGUCUGGGAAACUGCCUGAUGGAGGGGGAUAACUACUGGAAACGGUAGCUAAUACCGCAUAACGUCGCAAGACCAAAGAGGGGGACCUUCGGGCCUCUUGCCAUCAGAUGUGCCCAGAUGGGAUUAGCUAGUAGGUGGGGUAACGGCUCACCUAGGCGACGAUCCCUAGCUGGUCUGAGAGGAUGACCAGCCACACUGGAACUGAGACACGGUCCAGACUCCUACGGGAGGCAGCAGUGGGGAAUAUUGCACAAUGGGCGCAAGCCUGAUGCAGCCAUGCCGCGUGUAUGAAGAAGGCCUUCGGGUUGUAAAGUACUUUCAGCGGGGAGGAAGGCGUUAAGGUUAAUAACCUUGUCGAUUGACGUUACCCGCAGAAGAAGCACCGGCUAACUCCGUGCCAGCAGCCGCGGUAAUACGGAGGGUGCAAGCGNUAAUCGGAAUUACUGGGCGUAAAGCGCACGCAGGCGGUCUGUCAAGUCGGAUGUGAAAUCCCCGGGCUCAACCUGGGAACUGCAUUCGAAACUGGCAGGCUAGAGUCUUGUAGAGGGGGGUAGAAUUCCAGGUGUAGCGGUGAAAUGCGUAGAGAUCUGGAGGAAUACCGGUGGCGAAGGCGGCCCCCUGGACAAAGACUGACGCUCAGGUGCGAAAGCGUGGGGAGCAAACAGGAUUAGAUACCCUGGUAGUCCACGCCGUAAACGAUGUCGACUUGGAGGUUGUGCCCUUGAGGAGUGGCUUCCGGAGCUAACGCGUUAAGUCGACCGCCUGGGGAGUACGGCCGCAAGGUUAAAACUCAAAUGAAUUGACGGGGGCCCGCACAAGCGGUGGAGCAUGUGGUUUAAUUCGAUGCAACGCGAAGAACCUUACCUACUCUUGACAUCCAGAGAACUUAGCAGAGAUGCUUUGGUGCCUUCGGGAACUCUGAGACAGGUGCUGCAUGGCUGUCGUCAGCUCGUGUUGUGAAAUGUUGGGUUAAGUCCCGCAACGAGCGCAACCCUUAUCCUUUGUUGCCAGCGGUUAGGCCGGGAACUCAAAGGAGACUGCCAGUGAUAAACUGGAGGAAGGUGGGGAUGACGUCAAGUCAUCAUGGCCCUUACGAGUAGGGCUACACACGUGCUACAAUGGCGCAUACAAAGAGAAGCGACCUCGCGAGAGCAAGCGGACCUCAUAAAGUGCGUCGUAGUCCGGAUUGGAGUCUGCAACUCGACUCCAUGAAGUCGGAAUCGCUAGUAAUCGUAGAUCAGAAUGCUACGGUGAAUACGUUCCCGGGCCUUGUACACACCGCCCGUCACACCAUGGGAGUGGGUUGCAAAAGAAGUAGGUAGCUUAACCUUCGGGAGGGCGCUUACCACUUUGUGAUUCAUGACUGGGGGAAGUCG
rnacentral:rRNA from 1 species